CGUGAAUCACUCCAUCUUCUUGUGUUGUGCGCGUGUUUCCAAAUAAGAUGUAAAACAGAAGACCAUGAUUGCGUUCUAAGCAGGACUCCAUCAGAAGAGCCACGGUGCCACUGAUUGGUCGGUUUGGGGCUGUAAAGGUCUUUAAAAAGGAGGGCCUCGGGCAUUACCGCAUCCACAGCGACAGAUACUCAGUCUUUCCUUCCUGCCUCUAAAGAGAUCACAGGGGAACCAUGAAGAUCGUGCUCAUUGCAGUGUGUCUCGUUGGACUCGUCUGUGCCAGCUAUGUCGAUGAUGAGCAUGAGCGAGAGAAGCGCUCGUCCAGUGGCGAGAGCAACCGAGGAUAUGGAGGACAAUUCCUGCCAUACUAUCCCAACAACAACAACAAUCUUCUCCAAACUAUUCUGCCCUUAUUACUACUACAGCUGCUCACUCCUGCCCCUGCUCCUGCUCCUGCACCUGCCCCUGCCACGGGCAAAUGAGACAAGCAAUAUCAGCUAGCAGUGAAUAUUUUGAGAUGUAUGACAUGUACUCAACCAUUCUUUGUCAUUUCUUGCAAUAAAAUUUGACUCAUGAACAUACUUAUGGUCAUAACGUGUCUUAUUCGGAUUCGAGUAGGGUUCUCGGAUUACUUCAUUAAUGCAACAUGCUUAAAAUUUCGUCAUGACAAAACGACCAGGCUCUAAAGGUAAGAUGGUGUCUGCUCUGUUUAAACCUCUGUAGCUGCAAAUGAAUAAAUUGUGAUGAAAAAAAAAAUUCCCAUCUUUCAUGACCAUGGAUCGAAGGAGAACAUGAAGC
ensembl:lncRNA